rnacentral:rRNA from 1 species
UACAGAGGGUGCAAGCGUUAAUCGGAAUUACUGGGCGUAAAGCGUGCGUAGACGGUUACAUAAGUCGGGUGUGAAAGCCCCGGGCUCAACCUGGGAAUUGCAUUCGAGACUGCGUAGCUAGGGUGCGGAAGAGGGAAGCGGAAUUUCCGGUGUAGCGGUGAAAUGCGUAGAUAUCGGAAGGAACACCAGUGGCGAAAGCGGCUUCCUGGUCCAGCACCGACGUCAGGCACGAAAGC